rnacentral:telomerase_RNA from 14 species
UCUGGCCGCGGCGUGUCUCUUCUAACCCUAAAUUUGGGCGACUUCCUGUACCGAACGUUCGCUGUUUUCUUCUCCAUGGCUUUCAGUGAACUACAGGACAGUUUAUUUUCCAAGUAGCGACGGGAACGUUGACCAACUCAACGUUAAAACAAACAAACAAACAAAAAAAAAGCCAAGAGAGUCACUCCGUCUCCGCUCAGUUUCCCGUCAGCAGAAACACCGCGAAUCGAGCCGCGGUCAGCCCGAGCUGCCGCGAAGAGUUCGCCUCUGCUGCUCCGGUGUGUUCGUGCCGGGAGUCUCGACAACUGAGCAGAUCAAAACCUGAGCAGGGCGACUCCUCCGCAUCUCCAGUGGUGCGGGUAGGAAGCCCGGUCUCAAACACAC